GGUUGUAUAGUGUAGCGGUUAUCACUCCGGAUUCUGAAUUUCAUCAGGACAUUCCGGCAACCCCGGUUCGAUUCCGGGUACGACCU
rfam:Neurospora tetrasperma FGSC 2509 unplaced genomic scaffold NETTE2scaffold_5, whole genome shotgun sequence.